CUGACUUCGGUCUCAGUCUCUGCCCUGUCCUGGCCCUGGGACCAUGGGUGAGCUGAGGCAACUCAGUUUCCCAGCCUGUGACCCCAGGCUCUGUCCUCGCCCUGUCACCCCCCAUCGCAGCACAAGUUCGAGGGUGCCAGCUUGAGCGGCCUCCUGAGGGCCUUCUGGGGUUAAAAUCUUCAAUCCUGAGACUGAGACCAGGGCCGGUAAGGAGGCUCAGCCCCUGUGGACUUUCUCCUCCCUCUCCGUGGCUGAGUCUUGAUUUAUAGCUGGAAGGGCAGACGAAGGUAUCCUGCUGUAUACACAACCCUGCUUGACCACAUCCCAGGUCUCCUCCCUCUGCGACGCCACAGCAGGGGCGCCUUCCGAAAGCCCUCUGGAUUGAGGCAGCAGGAUCUGUGGUGGAACCCGCCUGGGAGUUGCCAAAGCCCCUAGGACCCCAGCACAUUGACCCGGGAGCAUCCCCGGGUUGUUUCUGCCUGGAGAGGAGCAGAGGCCAGGCUGCUGCCCUGGGAGGUGAGACUUCCUGGUGCACCUGCACUUCCAGAUGGGACUUUCUGGUACAACUGCACUCCCAGAUGAGCCUUCCCUCCCAGAUGAGCCUUCCGGGUGCACCUGCACUCCCAGAUGCAGACUUCCUGGUGCACCUGCACUCCCAGAUGCAGACUUCCGGGUGCACCUGCACUCCCAGAUGCAGACUUCCUGGUGCACCUGCACUUCCUGGUGCAGACUUCUUGGUUCAUCUGCACUUCCUGGUGAGAAUCCCUUGCACAUCUGCACUUCCUGAUGCACCUGCACUUCUAGGUAAGACAUUCUGCUGCAUCUGCAUUUAUGGGUGAACUUCCUGGUGAGAAUCCCUUGAGCACCUGCACUUCUAGGUGGAACUUCCUGGUGCACCUGCGCCUCCAGGCACAGACUCUCAGGUGAAUUUCCAGGCAGAAGAGACCUAGGCUGCAUUCCACAGGUGUCUGGCUUUUUUUGACCUUGGACCUUGAGUGCUGUCUUGGGAGGUAGGCUUUUCCAGGGUCUGUAAGGAUUGGGUAGGGUGGACAGACAUGGUAGUGGCAGGUGCAGAGGAGGGACAUGCAGACAUUUGAUAUGGAGGGGGAGGACAAAGCCACCUGACCAAAGGUAUCCCAGUCCCAACACAGCCAGGAAGCCUAGAAUAUGUGGAGGGGCAGCAGUGUGGAGGGUCUCCUCUCCCCCGCCCCUACUGCCCCGCCGCCCCUGUUUGGAGGUGAGCACCCGGCUGAUGCUGCUCCCUCUCCUGGCCUGGCUCCGGCUCCUAAGCUGUCCUGUGGUUCUGCCUUCCCACUGGACUUGUCCCCAGGGAGGAGAGCCCUGGCACAGUGACAGGAAGGUCUGGGGCUGCCAGAUGGCCCAUCCCUCAAGUCACCUUAUACAGGGCGUCUGGCUGGCCCCUGGGUCUCUGGGGUGUGUGUGAGCGCAGUUCAGCGAACCCCUCUCCUUUGUGGUGGGGUUUCUCAGUGCGCCAGGCUAGGAGACCCUCGCUGGGGAGGGCGCCAAGCAGUGCCACCUGGGGUGGGGGCGUCAGCCAAGCCUCAGCCCCUAAGUCCAUGGCGUGACAGCUA
rnacentral:lncRNA from 1 species